GGUACUGUAGCCUAGUGGUUAAGGCGGAGGUUUUAAGCACCUUUGUGCUCGCACAUCGUCGGUUCGAAUCCGUCCAGUACCA
rnacentral:tRNA from 1 species